UACGGGGGGAGCAAGCGUUGUUCGGAUUUACUGGGCGUAAAGGGCGCGUAGGCGGUCAGCACAAGUCAGUUGUGAAAUCUCCGGGCUUAACUCGGAAAGGUCAACUGAUACUGUGCGACUAGAGUGCGGAAGGGGCAACUGGAAUUCUCGGUGUAGCGGUGAAAUGCGUAGAUAUCGAGAGGAACACCAGUGGCGAAGGCGACUUACUGGACACAUAUUGACGCUGAGGUGCGAAAGCGUGGGGAGCAAACAGG
rnacentral:rRNA from 1 species